rnacentral:rRNA from 1 species
CUAAGCAUAUCAAUAAGCGGAGGAAAAGAAACUAACAAGGAUUCCCCUAGUAACUGCGAGUGAAGCGGGAAAAGCUCAAAUUUAAAAUCUGGCGGUCUUUGGCCCGUCCGAGUUGUAGUCUGGAGAAGUGCUUUCCGCGCUGGACCGUGUAUAAGUCUCUUGGAACAGAGCGUCAUAGAGGGUGAGAAUCCCGUCUUUGACACGGACUACCAGUGCUUUGUGAUGCGCUCUCAAAGAGUCGAGUUGUUUGGGAAUGCAGCUCAAAAUGGGUGGUAAAUUCCAUCUAAAGCUAAAUAUUGGCGAGAGACCGAUAGCGAACAAGUACCGUGAGGGAAAGAUGAAAAGCACUUUGGAAAGAGAGUUAAACAGUACGUGAAAUUGCUGAAAGGGAAACGCUUGAAGUCAGUCGCGUCUGCCGGAACUCAGCCUUGCUUUUGCUUGGUGCAUUUUCCGGUUGACGGGCCAGCAUCGAUUUUGACCGUCGGAAAAGGGCUAGGGAAAUGUGGCACCUUCGGGUGUGUUAUAGUCUCUAGUCGCAUACGACGGUUGGGAUCGAGGACCGCAGCGCGCCGCAAGGCAGGGGUUCGCCCACUUUCGCGCUUAGGAUGCUGGCAUAAUGGCUUUAAACGACCCGUCUUGAAACACGGACCAAGGAGUCUAACAAACCUGCGAGUGUUUGGGUGGUAAACCCGAGCGCGUAAUGAAAGUGAAAGUUGAGACCUCUGUCGUGGAGGGCAUCGACGCCCGGACCUGACGUUCUCUGAAGGAUCCGCGGUAGAGCAUGUUUGUUGGGACCCGAAAGAUGGUGAACUAUGCCUGAAUAGGGUGAAGCCAGAGGAAACUCUGGUGGAGGCUCGUAGCGAUUCUGACGUGCAAAUCGAUCGUCAAAUUUGGGUAUAGGGGCGAAAGACUAAUCGAACCAUCUAGUAGCUGGUUCCUGCCGAGCUCCCCCCCACAGAGUAAA